GUUCUUCACCUUCAGUAAAUUCCAUGACCACUGUAGGACCAAAAACCAAAAACAAUUCACAAAUGUGCUUGGGGAAUGAAGAAAGGAAUCUGGAGAUAGCAGAUAUUCCUUUAUUAGAAGAAACUGCCGCUAUAGAGAUACUAAAUCUAUCACCGAAUAAUGAUCCCGUUACGAAAGAAUAUAUAAACCA